UAAGGAAUAUUGGUCAAUGGGCGGAAGCCUGAACCAGCCAUGCCGCGUGCAGGAAGACGGCCCUACGGGUUGUAAACUGCUUUUGUACCGGAAUAAACCUUUCUUCGUGAAGAAAGCUGAAUGUACGGUAAGAAUAAGGAUCGGCUAACUCCGUGCCAGCAGCCGCGGUAAUACGGAGGAUCCAAGCGUUAUCCGGAUUUAUUGGGUUUAAAGGGUGCGUAGGUGGCUUAUUAAGUCAGGGGUGAAAGACGGUAGCUUAACUAUCGCAGUGCCUUUGAUACUGAUGAGCUUGAAUCCACUAGAGGUAGGCGGAAUGUGACAAGUAGCGGUGAAAUGCAUAGAUAUGUCACAGAACACCAAUUGCGAAGGCAGCUUACUAUGGUGGUAUUGACACUGAGGCACGAAAGCGUGGGGAUCAAACAGGAUUAGAUACCCCCGUAGUCC
rnacentral:rRNA from 1 species